AAACUUCUAAACUUCAUAAUUAAUUCGUCCGGUUUCCGUUUAAGUCCAUUAAAAUUUCAUUAAAUUCAUAAAAUUGCCAAGAAUCCAUUAAAAUACUUUCUUGUGCUGUUUUAGUAGAGUUUGUGCCUAUUUUAUUUAUUUUUGUGUUUUGUCGCUUAAAUUCGGAGCACGUCGAUGCGCCGAUUUACUUCGAAAUCGUCGCCGAAGUACCCCAGGGAGCAGAGCAAGGC
rnacentral:lncRNA from 1 species